CCUACGGGAGGCAGCAGUGGGGAAUUUUGGACAAUGGGCGAAAGCCUGAUCCAGCCAUGCCGCGUGCAGGAUGAAGGCCUUCGGGUUGUAAACUGCUUUUGUACGGAACGAAAAGGUCUUUUCUAAUAAAGAAGGCUCAUGACGGUACCGUAAGAAUAAGCACCGGCUAACUACGUGCCAGCAGCCGCGGUAAUACGUAGGGUGCGAGCGUUAAUCGGAAUUACUGGGCGUAAAGCGUGCGCAGGCGGUUAUAUAAGACAGUUGUGAAAUCCCCGGGCUCAACCUGGGAACUGCAUCUGUGACUGUAUAGCUAGAGUACGGUAGAGGGGGAUGGAAUUCCGCGUGUAGCAGUGAAAUGCGUAGAUAUGCGGAGGAACACCGAUGGCGAAGGCAAUCCCCUGGACCUGUACUGACGCUCAUGCACGAAAGCGUGGGGAGCAAACAGGAUUAGAUACCCUGGUAGUCCACGCCCUAAACGAUGUCAACUGGUUGUUGGGUCUUCACUGACUCAGUAACGAAGCUAACGCGUGAAGUUGACCGCCUGGGGAGUACGGCCGCAAGGUUGAAACGUCAAAGGAAUUGACGG
rnacentral:rRNA from 1 species